UACAGAGGGGGCAAGCGUUGUUCGGAAUUACUGGGCGUAAAGGGCGCGUAGGCGGCCUGCUAAGUCGAACGUGAAAUCCCUGGGCUCAACCCAGGAACUGCGUCCGAUACUGGUUGGCUUGAGUUCGGGAGAGGGAAGCGGAAUUCCGGGUGUAGCGGUGAAAUGCGUAGAUAUCCGGAGGAACACCGGUGGCGAAGGCGGCUUCCUGGACCGACACUGACGCUGAGGCGCGAAAGCCAGGGGAGCAAACGGG
rnacentral:rRNA from 1 species